AACUCCUCGAGCUUGCAAAUGUCGAUGGGCUGAAAAGUAUGUUUGACAUAACAUCUCUGUCGGCAUUUUGGAUCAAAGUCAAGGCUAAAUAUCCUGAGAUAGCCACGAAAGCACUCAAAACGUUGCUUUCAUUCCCAACAUUUUUCUGCAAUGAAUGCAACGGAAACUAAACUGCGGAAUAGACUGGACAUCAGGAACCCCUUCGAGUAUCGCUGUCUCCCGUCACCCCUCGAUAGGACCGUCUUGUUGCAGGGAAACAAGCCCAGGGCUCCCACUGAUUCAGCGAUAUUGUGUGGAGACCAAGAUAUGUGAAAGGAGAUCUGAGGGCCAAAGAACAACAAGAAAUCAGUCUCAUAUUAUUAUUUGCACUGGGAAUAAUUCAAGACUCAAGAUGCAGGAUUUAAAUAUAUUUGUUAUGUUGGUAACACGUACCACGAGGUCUGGUACGAUGAUCCCGAGAGCAUUUCUAUGAGGGUGUCUAUCGUGCUGAAACUGAACCUCCGUGGUGUCGGCGUGUGGACUGCAAACGAAAUCAACUACGCUGAUGAUGCCAGAGCAAGAAUGCAGGCUGCGGAGAUGUGGAACGCAGUGUGUCCUCCCUGGUGCAAUUACUGAGUGUGAACCAUUUCAUCUCUGUAUCAGCUCAUCAAUUAGUAUUGCAAGAUGAGCAUCGUUAUCUCUAGUAUCCGAUAAUUUCUCACCCUCUCCCCAAUCUAGCUCCCCUCCUACCCCUUUUCAUUUCCUCACCUGUCCACCUCCCUCUGUUCCCCCCUCGUCCCCCUUCUCCCCUCCCCUUCUCCCAUGGUCCACAUUCAUCGCCAGAUUCCUCCUUCAGUUCUUCACCAUAGAAACUAUAGAAACUACAGCACAGAAACAGGCCUUUUGGCCCUCCUUGGCUGUGCCGAACCAUUUUCUGCCUAGUCCCACUGACCUGCACACGGACCAUAUCCCUCCAUACACCUCCCAUCCAUGUAUCUGUCCAAUUUAUUCUUAAAUGUUAAAAAAAAACCUGCAUUUACCACCUCAUCUGGCAGCUCAUUCCAUACUCCCACCACUCUCUGUGUGAAGAAGCCCCCCUAAUGUUCCCUUUAAACUUUUCCCUCCUCACCCUUAACCCAUGUCCUCUGGUUUUUUUUUCACCUUUCCCACCUACCAACUUCCAGUUUCUCAAUUCAUCCUCCCCGUCACCUGGCCUCACCUAUCACCUGCCAGUCUGUACUCCUCCCCCUCCCUCCCCACCCACCCAUCCUCCCCCUCACCUGCUCUCACCUAUCACCUGCCAGUCUGUACUCCUCCCCCUCCCUCCCCACCCACCCAUCCUCCCCCUCACCUGGUCUCACCUAUCACCUGCCAGUCUGUACUCCUCCCCCUCCCUCCUCACCCAGCCAUCCUCCCCCUCACCUGGCCUCACCUAUCACCUGCCAGUCUGUACUCCUCCCCCUCCCUCUCCACCCACCCAUCCUCCCCCUCACCUGCUCUCACCUAUCACCUGCCAGUCUGUACUCCUCCCCCUCCCUCCAGCUUCUUAUUCCGGCUUCUUCCCCCUUCCUUUCCAGUCCUGAUGAAGGGUCUCGGUCUGAAACAUCGACUGUUUAUUCCUCUCCAUAGAUGCUGCCUGACCUACUGAGUUCCUCCAGCAUUUUCUGAGUGUAACAAAAUUGAGCUCAUUUGUAAUAAUAGUAAAAUAAAUAUAAAUCUAGAAAACAAUUCAAACAUUUUAUUCAUUAAAUUCAAAUGAAGCCGUACAAUAGAAAGAGACGCAUCAUUCACAACCACCAACCUUGAGCUGGGGGUUCA